UAACCUGUGAGCUCUAGUGUGUUGUGGAGCAUAAAACACAGGCUGAGUGUUACCACUUCAGAUUCAAGGGAAGCAAGAGAACAAGACAGACUGAAGAAAGGCAUCAGCAAGGCACCCAAGAGAAAAGAAACUAUACCGUUUGCACUCAAACUCAAGUUGGAAGAGGAGGAGGAUAAGCUUGCAGUAAAGAUGUUAGACUUGUGGGAGCCAGCACCACCUCUAAUAAACCCCAUCCUUGACAGUGAAGCGAAAAAAAAUUAAUAAAUAUGCAUCCAGCAAGUCACGAGUUCUCUGACUCUUGUGUUGAUUUGUAGAGGGUUGCUUCCCAAAUGAUUACUAAACUGCAGAGUAGAUCAAAAUACUUAUUUGAUAAUACAAUCCUGUUUCAAUGCACAUAAUCAAUUAAAGUAUAACAUAGUCCCAGAUCAGCCUUAGUAAAGCCAUGUGUAUCGUAAACUUUCCACUAUUUUGUACAUCGUAUAUCAACUAGAAGUAUAAUCUGAGCAGUAGAUUUUACAGGAGGUUGGGGAAUAUCCUUAAGCAUGCGUAUUUCUGAAAAAUGUUCUCAAUUACUGCCUAUCCUUGGUCCAUUCCUUCAUCUGAAACUCCAUCAUAAUGGCAAAUGAAAGCAUGCAUAUAGAAAAUCCAAUGAUCUUUCAACAUGCUUUGUGUUGAGGGAAAUAUGCCUCAUCUCAGGAAGCAAAGGGAAUCACUAUCAAGUGAAUUAUGCAUAUGAAAAUAGCUUAAACAAGUUCCAAAUUCUUUCCUAGCACUUUUUACUAAGAAAUAACACUUCAGAUCUUUUCAGCUUCAAAAGUUCCCACUUUUAAUAAGUCAGACACUGCUGAAUAUGGAACACUUAUUCAUUAAAAUGAUCAUAUAAACUGUCGUGCAUUUUGAAUGCACGUGCGUGACCUUAGGUGGAAAGACUUGAUUCUUCAUUUAAAUGAAUGUAUCUGAGGUUUCUGUCAUUGCUGUAAUGUUUUUAGAUUGCAGCCAGAUCCAAUUUAUAAUCAGAAACUUGGGUACUGUGAUCUUGAAGUUGUUGCAGUGAACGAGGCGAACCGAAACGCAGGACACAGGCACGAAGAUUGAGUUAGGAUGCAGACGUGGGCAUGACCGUUGAACGGCAAACAGGAGGGAGUGCAGGAAAGCAGGAGGCAGGCAGAACUUAUCUUGACACAGAGCAUAGAAAGGGAAGCGGCAGACAAAGCUUUUCUUAGCUCGGAGAGAUGGAGUUCCAUAGGUAAACCUCGGUACUGGGGUAAACUUAGAAUUCUUACCUUAACUUGGAGAGACAGAGUUUCACAGAUAAACCUCGGAACUGGAGUUGAACUAAGAAAACUUACCUUGACUUGAAGAGAUUGAGUUGCACAGAUAAAUCUCAGUACUGAAGCAAAACUUAGAACACACAAUCCUAAGUGGCUGGGAAACGUUAAUUACCACACUGGCAAAACCAACAAUCUGGCAACUAGUGGGUGCAAAGCCGGGGUUCUUGUACUGCAGGUCUUGAUGAAAACCAGGUGUGCCACCAUCAAAGGAAAUUAGGAGAAAAUGGGGAAUUAACGGUCAGGACCAUGACAGAAGUCAAAUGCCUUCUUCCUCAGUGUGGAAGAGGGUAAAAUGAGAAGCCCCCUUUUUAAGCCAAAGAAAUGCUAAGAAAAUGUAAGAAAUUUUAAGGUGAAACGGUUAUGAAAUAGAAGUUGGACUGGUUAGUUUAGUAAUACCAUGAUCAUAACAAAUGGUCUUCUGAUGCUGUAGUCUAUCCACUUCAAGGCUCGAUGUGUCAUGCGUUCAGAGAUGCUGUUUUGUACACCACGGUUGUAACGUGUGGUUAUUUGAAGCACUGGAGUCGGUGCGUUCCACUGGUGUGCCAGAGGCAGUGUGAUGCAGUGUCCAAGCUGAAUUUGGUGCUGCCCCCCAGUGUUCACUUGGCAGAAGACAAGCCAUAUUGUGUUUGAAAGUUGCUACUACAUUCAUAGAUUCAGGCUCUUGGACUAUAUCUUCUUGUGUACCUGUAUUUUCCUCAUACCUUAUUAUGUGCUAUAUGUUCUUAGCACCUUGGUUCCAGAGUAAUGCUGUUUCAUUUGGCAGUAUUCAUGAGUACUCAUGUAUGAUUGAAUGACAAAUGAACUUGAACUUUUGACUUACUGUUGCAUUCCUGUCAGCUUAAACCAGUCUCCUCGGACCUCUCUCAAUAACAAGGCAUUUUCACUCACAGAACUACUGCCUACUGGAUUUUAAAAAAAAUUUCUUCCAUCAUUCUCUGUAAACUCUAGAGACUGCGGUGUUUAAAAAUCCCAGAUCUGCAGUUUCUGAGAUUCUCAAACUACCCCAUCUGGCACAAAUAGUCAUUCUGCAGUCAAAGUCACAUUUCUUUUCCAUUCUGAUGUUUGGUCUGAAGAACAACUAAACCUCUUGACCACGUCGACAAUGCUUUGCUGCAUUGAGUUGCUGCGGCCUGAUUGGCUGAUUAGAUAUUUGCAUUAACGAGCAGGUGUACAAAUAUACCUAAUAACAUUACUACCUCAGCCUAUGAAUGUUACACUUAAAAACUGGAAGCACAGUGCAUAUUGGACUACUAAGGUGCCAGAAUGAUAGCAAAGUUAUUUGUCAAGAGUUAGUUAUGAUUUUUCAGAAAUGGCUCCAAGAGGAAUCACUGUAAGAUUUACGAGUGGGGCUGGAGGCAUAUUCAGGAAUGACUGCACCAGAAAUUCCCUGUGGUGUCCAUUGUGAUUCAUUUGUGAAAUAUCAGGCUGAGGCAAG